CCCUUAGAUGUUCUGGGCCGCACGCGCGCUACACUGAUGCAUUCAACGAGUUUCUUCCUGGUCCGAGAGGAAUGGGUAACCUUUUGAAAGUGCAUCGUGAUAGGGAUAGACUAUUGCAAUUAUUGGUCUUCAACGAGGAAUUCCUAGUAGACGUAGUUCAUCAGACUGCAUCGAUUACGUCCCUGCCCUUUGUACACACCGCCCGUCGCUCCUACCGAUUGAAUGCUCAGGUGAGCCAUUCGGACUGUCAUCAUGCUGGUUUCCAGUUUUGAUGAAGGAAAGUCUUGCGAACCUUAUCAUUUAGAGGAAGGAGAAGUCGUAACA
rnacentral:rRNA from 1 species